AGUAUUUGUGUGAGAUUUUGCCAAACUUGUGAUCAAAAGCUCAAUGGCAAGUGCAAAAAUAAAUCCUCUUUGGCAAUUCAGAAUUCAGUACUCAGCAUGAGUUUUACAUGCAGAAAAAGACAGA